CGCUGAGCGGGCUUGGCUGGCCACCAGCGGGAGGCACAGCCACGCUGAACCAGCAGGGAUGGUGUCUUGGCUUGUGGGCUCGCAGCCACGCAGCCUCUACUAACCGCCGGCCGAGUUUAAGCACCGCCAGCACUCACCCAAGCCCACCCCUGCUCCAAAGCUAAGAAGGCGAGAAAGACAUCCACCUCGCUCUUGCUGUCCCUGGAAGAUUGCAACCGGGCAGCUUCUAGGACUGAUCCCCCCCAGGGUGCGGCCAAUGGAUUUGGCCCCUCUCGCUAGGCAGCCACUUGCUGGGGUACCAGUAGAAGCUUCUGUGAUUUCCCCCAGGCAGCUUUUGCCUGCCGAGCCCAGAGUCCGGAAACCUCAGACUGGAAAAGAGAGACAGCAAGCUACCGCUCGCCAGCCAACGCAUCCAGGCCCGGGAUAGAAAGAGCCGAAGGUACCGACUCUAGGAGCCCAAGGGCCCGAGGUGUCGCUUCCCAGACCAGCUUCGCCCAGAGCUAAGAAGCUUGCACUGCAAUGCAGCGGGAUCCAGGCUCUCUAAGCCGGAGAUGUCCGGGGAUCGGGCUGUCUGAGAGCACCGGAGCGCAGGAGCCUGGAGAGUCUGCGUGCGAACCUGCUGUGGGAGCCCAGGGUCGGCACCGGGCAUGCCUGUGGGUUCCGCCCCAGCCCAAUGCCCCAUCUGUGCCCAGACUCGGGGAUAUCCUCGCCCUUCGGCACCAGGAUGCCCGGCUACGCCGAACAGCCAAAGGAGCCCCGCGAAGCGCGCGGCACCCAGGAACUGGCAGCCGGCAGCCACCAAGUUGCUCCGCGAAGGGUUGGUUGCUAUUGGUAUGAAGAAAAGCCAGUUGAUUGUUUUGUUGAUUCCGUGUCCUCUUAAACUGAAAUAAAAUGUCUCAAAGAAAAAAAUA
rnacentral:lncRNA from 1 species